rnacentral:rRNA from 1 species
UACGUAGGUGGCAAGCGUUGUCCGGAUUUACUGGGCGUAAAGAGCGCGCAGGCGGUCGUGCAAGUCGCGUGUGAAAGCCCCCGGCUCAACUGGGGAGGGUCACGCGAUACUGCUCGACUUGAAGGCAGGAGAGGGAAGUGGAAUUCCCGGUGUAGUGGUGAAAUGCGUAGAUAUCGGGAGGAACACCAGUGGCGAAGGCGACUUCCUGGCCUGUUCUUGACGCUGAGGCGCGAAAGCUAGGGUAGCAAACGGGAUUAAGAAACCCGU